AGCCAUAUGGCCGAGUGGUUAAGGCGGGAGACUUAAGAUCUCCUCCCGUAUGGGAUCGUGGGUUCGAACCCCACUGUGGCUA